rnacentral:rRNA from 1 species
GUGAGGAAUAUUGGUCAAUGGGCGGGAGCUUGAACCAGCCAAGUGGCGUGAAGGAAGAGGGAUCUAUGGUUGGUAAACUUCUUUUGCAGGGGAAUAAAGUGCAGGACGGGUCCUGUUUUGUAUGUACCCUGAGAAUAAGGAUCGGUUAACUCCGUGCCAGCAGCCGCGGUAAUACGGAGGAUCCGAGCGUUAUCCGGAUUUAUUGGGUUUAAAGGGUGCGUAGGUGGUUUGAUAAGUCAGCGGUGAAAGUUUGCAGCUUAACUGUAAAAAUGCCGUUGAAACUGUCGGACUUGAGUGUAAAUGAGGUAGGCGGAAUGCAUGGUGUAGCGGUGAAAUGCAUAGAUAUCACGCAGAACUCCGAUUGCGAAGGCAGCUUACUAAGCUACAACUGACACUGAAGCACGAAAGCGUGGGGAUCAAACAGGAUUAGAUACCCGAGUAGUCC